AAGUCGUAACAAGGUCUCCGUUGGUGAACCAGCGGAGGGAUCAUUAUAGAGUUUUCUAAACUCCCAAACCCAUGUGAACUUACCAUUGUUGCCUCGGCAGAGCCUACCCGGUACCUACCCUGGAACUAGCUACCCUGUAGCUACCCAGGAACGGGCUACCCUGUAGCGUCCUGCCGGUGGACUUCUAAACUCUUGUUAUUUAUAGUAAUCUGAGCGUCUUAUUUUAAUAAGUCAAAACUUUCAACAACGGAUCUCUUGGUUCUG
rnacentral:misc_RNA from 1 species